rnacentral:lncRNA from 1 species
CUCUUUCCAAAAAAAGUUGGAUUGAUUAGUUGGUAUCAUUUUUAUCUUAUAUUUUGAAAAUUUAAAAUAUAUAUUUAUUUUUUAAAAAAUAUUUUAAGUAUAUUAUUAUUUUUUAAAAAGAUAAUGAUGGUGAUGGAUAUGAUGAUAGCAAAAAUAGAGAUAGUGAAGAUAAUAAUAAUGUCAGUAAUAAAAUUAAUAAUUAAUAAUACAAUAAUAAUCGAAGUGCUAUUAACAAUGGAGUUGGC